rnacentral:lncRNA from 1 species
GUUUCAUUUUUUGUGUUGCGCCCGCAUUUUUGCACUUACAAUUUCUCGUGCAUGUAGAGUUCUUUUUCUCGUGCAAGUUUCCGUCCGCUUUUCCAAUCGCACUACACCACCCCCCUCUCCUGAAGUUUCGUCACGUGCAUCUGGCGCCUGGAUUUCCUCACAGUUAAAUCAGUAACGAUGGAAGUGGAAAGCCGGGAAACUUUGAAGGGAGACAACCACAGGCGGAGCAAGGCGAGCUUGGAAUAGACCUCAACGGUGGAACCUGACCCGCGGAUCGGUGAUCGACCCUUCGUAGCGGACCGCGAGUCGAAGCGGGCCGUCGGCAAGUGCGGAGCCCGGAUCCUCAGACUGGCCGAGCAGGGGAUGAUAACCAAAAGAAAAGGAGGAAAUCGCGGAAUCGGGGAAACGAUACACGUCGGGGAUGAAUGCCCAAGUUGAAAGUUUCGAUCCUCUCCAAUGUUCCAAAAUCGCCGCAGAUUCUACGUGUGAUUUCAGUGUAGUGUAGUUACAGGAGUCUCGUGCCUUCAGAAGUGCCGCGUCGUCGUGUGACUUUGCGAUCGUGGAACUUUACCGAUUUUUCGUGGAACUUUUUGCUCGGGGGCUGUGAUGCGCGUCCGGUAGUGAAUGGUUUGGGGGAAGUACGCCCCCCGCUGCGAGGGGCCCGGCGGCAGCGAGCCGGUGAAAUGUCGGGAUGGGCCGGGCGCGGCGCGCACAGUGUCGUGUCCUCGGGCAAUGUCACCGUCACUCCAUCAACGUCUCCAACGAUUCACUGCCCGACCCCAACGAUAAAGGUAUCAAGCAUGAAGAGAACAAGUGCAGUGUGCUGGUUUCGCCACUGGCUCUUGCUGAGGAAGACGAGGGUUCCGCCUCUGACUCAGAAAUCAGCAGAAUCGAUUUUCAGGUAUGAAAUCACUAACUAUUAUUGUUCCAAACAGGGUGUCUUUGAUUGUGAGCUAAAGAUUUAAACUUGGGAGAUGCUCCAAGUUGGAAGGAG